rnacentral:rRNA from 1 species
UACGUAGGGUGCGAGCGUUUGUCCGGAUUUAUUGGGCGUAAAGAGCUCGUAGGCGGUUUGUCGCGUCGGCCGUGAAAUCUCCACGCUUAACGUGGAGCGUGCGGUCGAUACGGGCAGACUUGAGUUCGGUAGGGGAGACUGGAAUUCCUGGUGUAGCGGUGAAAUGCGCAGAUAUCAGGAGGAACACCGGUGGCGAAGGCGGGGUCUCUGGGCCGAUACUGACGCUGGAGGAGCGAAAGCCGUGGGGAACGAACAGG